rnacentral:miRNA from 1 species
AAGCAGGCUGGCCGCCGGAAUA